rnacentral:rRNA from 1 species
GAGUUUGAUCGUGGCUCAGAUUGAAUGCUGGCGGCAUGCCUUACACAUGCAAGUCGAACGGCAGCACGGGAGCUUGCUCCUGGUGGCGAGUGGCGAACGGGUGAGUAAUGCAUCGGAACGUAUCCUGGAGUGGGGGAUAACGUAGCGAAAGUUACGCUAAUACCGCAUAUUCUGUGAGCAGGAAAGCGGGGGACCUUCGGGCCUCGCGCUCUUGGAGCGGCCGAUGUCGGAUUAGCUAGUUGGUGAGGUAAAGGCUCACCAAGGCGACGAUCCGUAGCAGGUCUGAGAGGAUGAUCUGCCACACUGGAACUGAGACACGGUCCAGACUCCUACGGGAGGCAGCAGUGGGGAAUUUUGGACAAUGGGGGCAACCCUGAUCCAGCCAUGCCGCGUGAGUGAAG